GACAAAAUUUUGACUAUUUUUCAUUUCUCCAAGUUUUUUGGGGGAUGUGAUCUUUGUCUAUAAGACCAAGAACCUAUUUAUUUUAAAAGUAAUGCUCCUGAUCCAGGUAAGAAUCAGUUUUGAAAUGUUUCUAAAGUUAUCUUAAUUAAACUGGCCUGUACUGGAUUUUUAAAAGAGGGUACAGCUUUAAAAUACCAUUUUUGUUAAGGUCGGAUGUAAUUGAAAAUAGAAUUGCCAUCAUUCAACCAUACUCUUGUGUGCCUCCACAAUUAAGAGUGAACCUGCGGGGCCUCCGUAAUCUUCAUUUGCAGCCACAUUGAGCCUGGCCUUGUUGGCGUGUGGUCUGGCACUUGUGACUCUUUAGUAUGAAAUUGCUAACGAGUAAACCUUUUCAUGUGGAGUCAUAAUGCACCGGUUUUACUUUCUGAUUUUAAGAAGUAUUCAUAGAACCUGAAGUAUUCCUUGUUCUCCAGUGGGUCUUUUCAGAUUCAACACAGAAGAGGAGGGACAAACUGGUAAGAUUAAGUGAUAACUGCAUUUAUAUACUGUUAUUAAGAGGGUUUUUCAUCAUCGAUGUGAAACAAAAUCCACUUUAUACCAUAUUUGCAGUGUGACUGCAGAUCCAAACUGUCAGCCGUCUGUUGUGAGAAUUCUGUCUUGCCACUACUGUUCUCUGCAGCAUAGAUUUGCACCUCUAGUGUGAACACCCGAAAAGGGGCCUUUUGUAUUAGGCAAUGUUUUUCUUUUGGGUUGUGAGAAGGUUGAACCCAGGACCUUUGAACUGAGCUGCAUCCCUAACCCUUUUUUUUUUUUUUUUUCCCAUUUGUUUUGAAACGAGCUCUCACUAAAUGGCUGACUUACCUAAGUUGUACUCAGACUUGCAGUCCUCCCGCCUCAGCCUCCCAGAGUGCUGGGAUGACAGGAUACCUAAAUUAUAACUACGGUACACCAGGGAGUAUCGAUCUGUUUUGAAGAUUUCUCACCUGCUUGUCAGGAACCUGGUACCUGCGCAUUCUUUCAUUAGCAUCAUUGUGCAUAAGGAUGAGUGGUAUAUGCCUGGUUACCCAUAAGUGUAGGUGUCUGGUUAAAUUACUCUCAGAAAUUCCAUGACUCCCCCCUUCCAAUAAAAUGUUUACUGCUGAAAAUUCAUUUUUUCCAUGUAAAUUCUCAAGGGGAAUUUUAAGUAUUUAGAACUGUCAAGCAAAUGAAAAGGAUACUUCCGUGGUUUACCUAACAACUGCCUCUUAAAUGCAGAUAGUACUUGACUUUUCUGUGUGUUCCCAGGUGCUGCAGACACCCCACUAUGGUUUGUGAGAUUUGUGGUUAACAGGAACGGAAGUUAAGUUCAGGACAAAGAUCAUGACGAAGUCCCCUUACAAGCUCCAGCUGACCUUAGAGGCACAACCUAUACUCAUCCUCCUACUUGCCAUUCUUCUGGAAGCUUUUUCUUGGGGAACACCUCCAGUAGGCUGAACAUUGACUGGGAAAAUCAGGCUCCAGUAACCCUACCAGGCUCUUAUAAAACAUUUGGCAUUGAGUGGAAAUGAAAGUUAAAAGCGGUGACACACGACAUCACAGUAAUAAUAGUAAUAAUGAUAGUAAA